rnacentral:snoRNA from 1 species
AAGACUAUACUUUUAGAGAUCAUUUCUAUAGUUUUUUACUAGAGAAUUUUCUCUGAAGGUGUAGAGCAAAAAAAAAAAAAGGUU